AAUCAAGCGUUAAAGUGCAUCUGGUGGAUGCCUUGGCGAUCAGAGGCGAUGAAGGACGUGGUACGCUGCGAUAAGCUCCGGUAAGCUGUGAACAAGCUUUGACCCGGAGAUCUCCGAAUGGGGGAACCCACAGCAUUAGCUGUAUCCGUUACUGAAUACAUAGGUAACGUGAAGCAAACCCGGUGAAGUGAAACAUCUCAGUAACCGGAGGAAAAGAAAUCAACCGAGAUUCCCCUAGUAGUGGCGAGCGAACGGGGAACAGCCCAGUAGUUGUUCUGUAAUAAUUGGAAGUCGUUGGAAACCGACGCCGUAGACGGUGAUAGCCCGGUACAAGUAAAAAGCAGAGCAGCUCUCGAGUAGGGCGGGACACGUGAAAUCCUGUCUGAAUAUAGGGGGACCAUCCUCUAAGGCUAAAUACUACUGAUCGACCGAUAGUGUACCAGUACUGUGAAGGAAAGGUGAAAAGCACCCCAAGCGGGGAGUGAAAAAGACCUGAAACCGGAUGCAUACAAACAGUCGGAGCGGACUUGUUCCGUGACGGCGUACCUUUUGUAUAAUGGGUCCGCGAGUUAGUCUUGCAUGCGAGCUUAAGCCGUUAGGUGUAGGCGUAGGGAAACCGAGUCUGAAUAGGGCGAGAGUAUGCAGGAUUAGAUCCGAAACCCGGUGAUCUAGCCAUGGCCAGGUUGAAGUUGCAGUAACAUGCAAUGGAGGACCGAACUAGUAAGUGUUGAAAAACUUUUGGAUGAGCUGUGGUUAGGGGUGAAAGGCCAAUCAAACCGGGUAAUUGCUGAUUCUCCGCGAAAACUAUUUAGGUAGUGCGUCGUGUCUUACCUUCGGGGGUAGAGCACUGGAUAGACUAGGGGGCCGCAAGGUCUACCAAAUCUAACCAAACUCCGAAUACCGAAGAGUACAAUCACGGCAGACAGACAGUGGGUGAUAACGUCCAUUGUCAAGAGGGAAACAACCCAGACCUCCAGCUAAGGUCCCAAAAUCGUAAUUAAGUGUGAAAGGAAGUUGGACUUCCAUGACAACCAGGAAGUUGGCUUAGAAGCAGCCAUCUUUUAAAGAAAGCGUAAUAGCUCACUGGUCUAAAUAAGAGGUCCGGCGCCGAAGAUGUACCGGGGCUAAAAUUACGUACCGAAGCUGAGGAUGCUUUAUAGCAUGGUAGCGGAGCGUUGUGUAAGUCUGUGAAGGUUCACCGUGAGGUGGGCUGGAGAUAUCACAAGUGAGAAUGCGGACAUGAGUAACGAUAAACAGAGUGAGAAACUCUGUCGCCGAAAAUCCAAGGUUUCCUGUCCAAGGUUAAUCCGGGCAGGGUGAGCCGGCCCCUAAGGCGAGGCUGAAAAGCGUAGUCGAUGGGAACACGGUUAAUAUUCCGUGGCCUGCUGGUAGUGACGGUGGCCGAAAGCUGUAUAUCCUUAAUGGAUUGGAUAUGCGGCCUGGGACAUCCAGGAAAUAACUCCAGCGUAUAGACCGUACCCUAAACCGACACAGGUGGAUAAGUAGAGAAUACUAAGGCGCUUGAGAGAACGGUGUUGAAGGAACUCGGCAAAUUACAUGCGUAACUUCGGGAUAAGCAUGCCCCAUCAGAAGGCAACUUUUGGUGGGGGGCACAAACUAGGGGGAUGCGACUGUUUACCAAAAACACAGGGCUCUGCGAAGAUGUAAAUCGACGUAUAGGGUCUGACGCCUGCCCGGUGCCGGAAGAUUAAGAGGAGAUGUUAACGCAUUGAAUUGAAGUCCCGGUAAACGGCGGCCGUAACUAUAACGGUCCUAAGGUAGCGAAAUUCCUUGUCGGGUAAGUUCCGACCUGCACGAAUGGCGUAACGAUGUCCCCACUGUCUCCAACACCGACUCAGUGAAAUUGGAUUCCCCGUGAAGAUACGGGGUUCCCGCGGUCAGACGGAAAGACCCUAUGAACCUUUACUAUAGCUUUGCAGUGGCAUUACGAUUGACAUGUGUAGGAUAGGUGGGAGGCUUUGAAGCAGGUACGCCAGUAUUUGUGGAGCCAAUGUUGAAAUACCACCCUUGUCCUUCGUGAUGUCUAACCAAGCUCCAUUAUCUGGAGUUGGGACCCUGCAUGGUGGGUAGUUUGACUGGGGCGGUCGCCUCCCAAAGUGUAACGGAGGCGCGCGAUGGUAAGCUCAGGACGGUUGGAAAUCGUCUUCAAGAGUGCAAUGGCAUAAGCUUGCCUGACUGCGAGACUGACAAGUCGAGCAGAGCCGAAAGGCGGUCAUAGUGAUCCGGUGGUUCCUCAUGGAAGGGCCAUCGCUCAACGGAUAAAAGGUACUCUAGGGAUAACAGGCUGAUAGCGCCCAAGCGUCCNNNNNNNNNNNNNNNNNNNNNNNNNNNNNNNNNNNNNNNNNNNNNNNNNNNNNNNNNNNNNNNNNNNNNNNNNNNNNNNNNNNNNNNNNNNNNNNNACGUGAGCUGGGUUCAGAACGUAAAUUACAUUGCGUUCUACCCCUGAAAAGGAGUAAUAUACGGAUGUACAUCGCAUCAUCUG
rfam:Alphaproteobacteria bacterium CG1_02_46_17 cg1_0.2_scaffold_12_c, whole genome shotgun sequence.